AGUGCACUAAUCCAUACGAGUAGUUUCAAUUAUUUAGUCUAUGUUGAAAUGUACUUAAGUAGUACCUUGCAAAGCUUUUAAUAUUGUAUUUCUAUGUUAUUUUUUACAGAGAAACUUUGAACCUUCAGAAUUCAGAGUUCUGAGUUCAACGAAACUGCUUGCUGACUUGAAGGUAGGAGAAUAUUGGAGAUCUUUAAGUUAGAAGCUUUUUUUCCCUUCAAAUAAUGAUAAGUGCCAGUUUUGUAUUGUAGGCCAUAUUUUUUAUUAAGACAAAAUCUCUUUUCUUUUUGUUCUGUAAGC
rnacentral:lncRNA from 1 species